AUUCUAGAGCUAAUACAUGCUGUUUAGCCUGACUUCUUGAAGGGCUGUAUUUAUUAGAUAACAGACCAAUAUUCCUCGUGUCUAUUGUGGUGAAUCAUAGUAACUAAUCGGAUCGCAUGGGCUAGUCCCGCGACAAACCAUUCAAGUUUCUGCCCCAUCAGCUUUCGAUGGUAGUGUAUUGGACUACCAUGGCUUUUACGGGUAACGGAGGAUUAGGGUUCGAUUCCGGAGAGGGAGCCUGAGAAACGGCUACCACAUCUAAGGAAGGCAGCAGGCGCGUAAAUUACCCAAUUCUAAUUCAGAGAGGUAGUG
rnacentral:rRNA from 1 species